rnacentral:sRNA from 1 species
UGUGAGAGAUAGCAGUGGAAAUCCUUUUUUGCCCCACUUUUUUGGGAAAAAAAGAUUAUCUCACAAUAUUAUAUUUC